rnacentral:rRNA from 1 species
ACUGAAUAGAUACCCUGGUAGUCCACGCCGUAAACGAUGGAUGCUAGCUGUUAUCAGUAUCGACCCUGGUAGUAGCGAAGCUAACGCGUUAAGCAUCCCGCCUGUGGAGUACGAGCGCAAGCUUAAAACAUAAAGGAAUUGACGGGGACCCGCACAAGCGGUGGAGCGUGUUGUUUAAUUCGAUGGUAAGCGAAGAACCUUACCCAGGCUUGACAUCCUGCCAAAUUUGCCGAAAGGCGAAUGUGCCUUCGGGCCGCAGUGACAGGUGAUGCAUGGCCGUCGUCAGCUCGUGUCGUGAGAUGUUUGGUUAAGUCCAUCAACGAGCGCAACCCUUAUAGUUAGUUGUAUUUUCUAGCUAGACUGCCCUGGUAACAGGGAGGAAGGAGGGGAUGAUGUCAGGUCAGUAUUUCCCUUACGUCUGGGGCUACAAACACGCUACAAUGGCCAGUACAAAGGGCAGCCAAGUCGCAAGACGGAGCAAAUCCCAUCAAAGCUGGUCUCAGUUCGGAUAGCAGGCUGAAACUC